GAUCUAUCUACGCUUACAUUCCACAUGCUUUCAUCUCCAGUCUACUUAGACCUUAUCGCAGAUUCUGAUGAUCUGGGGACUAUGCGUGUGAGUGUCGGACCCUCGGAUAUAAGCACUUCUUUGAAAAUCAAUGCUAUUUUGAAUGGUGUAGAGAUCAUGAAGAUGGUAAAUGUUCUUGAUUCACAGACUGGAUAUAAAAAGAGACGAAUUUGGAUUGUGUUAGGUUCAAUUUUCGGAGGCCGUCUUGUAUUUUCUUUGGUUGUUCUUGCUGUUGUGCUUCUAUGUAAAUGCAGAAAGCAGAAACCUAAACCAAGACGUGCUGAAAGUGUAGGUUGGACACCCUUACGUGUAUAUGGAGGCAGUUCUCACACUAGACUGUCUGAAGUGACGGUCAAUGCAUCUCCUGGUUCAAAUGGUUAUCACAGCUUGAGGAUCCCUAUUGCCGACAUUCAAUUGGCCACUAACAAUUUUGAUGAAAAUCUAAUCAUUGGUUCGGGUGGAUUUGGUAUGGUUUACAAAGGGGUUCUUAAAGACAACACAAAGGUUGCUGUAAAGAGGGGUGUUCCUGGAUCUAGGCAGGGACUUCCAGAAUUCCAGACAGAAAUAGCAGUUUUAUCCAGGAUACGUCACCGNNNNNCCCUCACUGGGUAUUGUGAAGAGCAGUCAGAAAUGAUACUGGUUUAUGAGUAUAUGGAAAGGGGACCAUUGAAUAUGGUUCAGGAUAUCCAACUUUGUCAUGGAAGCAAAGGCUUGAAAUUUGCAUUGGUGCAGCAAGAGGUCUUCACUACCUGCAUACAGGUUCAACACAAGGCAUCAUCCAUCGUGAUAUUAAGUCUACAAAUAUUUUGCUUGACCAAAAUUAUGUGGCUAAGGUUGCUGAUUUUGGUCUUUCAAGAUCUGGCCCAUGCCUCAAUGAGACUCAUGUAAGUACUGGCGUCAAAGGUAGUUUUGGUUAUCUCGAUCCAGAGUAUUUCCGGAGACAGCAGCUGACAGACAAGUCAGAUGUUUAUUCAUUUGGAGUAGUUCUUUUUGAGGUUCUCUGUGCUAGACCUGCUGUUGAUCCAUUGCUUGCCAGGGAGCAAGUGAAUUUAGCUGAAUGGGCAAUGCAAUGGCAGAAAAAAGGUAUACUUGAGAAAAUUGUCGAUCCCCAUCUUGUUGGACAGAUAAAACGAAGCUCUCUUAAGAAAUAUGGAGAAACAGCAGAGAAAUGUUUGGCAGACUAUGGUGUUGAUAGGCCAACCAUGGGUGAUGUGUUAUGGAAUUUGGAAUAUGUACUUCAGCUUCAGGAAUCUGGACCAUCAAGAGAACCGCGGGUGAAUGGCAAUGCAAAUGCACAGGAGCUCCCAUCACCUUCAAUGGUUCCCCAAGGUUCAUCAAGUGAUGACGCUGGGGCUGAAAAAGAUGACGGUAAUGGUGUUUCAGACAUAACAACCAGCAAAGUCUUUUCCCAGUUGAUGACCAAUGAAGGCAGAUAGUUUUACAUGUAAACAGUUCAUACACUUCUUAACUCAUUUUUAACUAUUCUCAGAAAGUCUGUUUGAAUUUAUUUUGGAGGUACCAAUCCAAAUUUAAAUCUUCUGUCACUAUCUUCUUCACCCACGGCCCCCGGGCCCCGCCGUCUCCCCCUCCCCAAGCAAC
rnacentral:misc_RNA from 1 species